UACGUCGGGUGCUAGCGUUGUUCGGAAUUACUGGGCGUAAAGCGCACGUAGGCGGAUUAGUAAGUCAGGGGUGAAAUCCCGGGGCUCAACCUCGGAACUGCCUUUGAUACUGCUGAUCUCGAGUCUGGAAGAGGUGAGUGGAAUUCCUAGUGUAGAGGUGAAAUUCGUAGAUAUUAGGAAGAACACCAGUGGCGAAGGCGGCUCACUGGUCCGGUACUGACGCUGAGGUGCGAAAGCGUGGGGAGCAAACAGG
rnacentral:rRNA from 1 species